rnacentral:rRNA from 1 species
UACGGAGGGUGCAAGCGUUAUCCGGAUUCACUGGGUUUAAAGGGUGCGUAGGUGGGUUGGUAAGUCAGUGGUGAAAUCUCCGGGCUUAACCUGGAAACUGCCAUUGAUACUAUCAAUCUUGAAUACCUUGGAGGUGAGCGGAAUAUGUCAUGUAGCGGUGAAAUGCUUAGAUACGACAUAGAACACCAAUUGCGAAGGCAGCUCACUACACGGUCAUUGACACUGAGGCACGAAAGCGUGGGGAUCAAACAGG